UACGUAGGUGGCAAGCGUUGUCCGGAUUUAUUGGGUUUAAAGGGUGCGUAGGCGGUCUAUUAAGUCAGUGGUGAAAUAUGGCAGCUUAACUGUCAGGGUGCCAUUGAUACUGAUGGACUUGAGUGAAGUCGAAGUAGGCGGAAUUGACGGUGUAGCGGUGAAAUGCUUAGAUAUCGUCAAGAACACCGAUAGUGAAGACAGCUUACUAGGCUUAUACUGACGCUGAGGCACGAAAGUGUGGGGAUCAAACAGGAUUAGAAACCCCCGUAGUCC
rnacentral:rRNA from 1 species